UACGUAGGGUGCGAGCGUUAAUCGGAAUUACUGGGCGUAAAGCGUGCGCAGGCGGUUUUGUAAGCCAGAUGUGAAAUCCCCGGGCUUAACCUGGGAAUGGCCAUUUGGGACUGCAAGGCUCGAGUGCGGCAGAGGAGACUGGAAUUCCUGGUGUAGCGGUGAAAUGCGCAGAUAUCAGGAGGAACACCGAUGGCGAAGGCAGGUCUCUGGGCAUUAACUGACGCUGAGGAGCGAAAGCAUGGGGAGCGAACAGG
rnacentral:rRNA from 1 species